rnacentral:rRNA from 1 species
CACACCGCCCGUCACACCAUGGGAGUUGGUUUCACCCGAAGGCGCUGCGCUAACCCGCAAGGGAGGCAGGCGACCACGGUGGGAUCAGCGACUGGGUG